rnacentral:rRNA from 1 species
UACGGAGGGUGCAAGCGUUAAUCGGAAUUACUGGGCGUAAAGCGUGCGUAGGCGGUUGCUUAAGUUGGAUGUGAAAGCCCCGGGCUCAACCUGGGAACUGCAUCCAAAACUGGGCAACUAGAGUACGAGAGAGGAGUGUGGAAUUUCCUGUGUAGCGGUGAAAUGCGUAGAUAUAGGAAGGAACACCAGUGGCGAAGGCGACACUCUGGCUUGAUACUGACGCUGAGGUACGAAAGCGUGGGGAGCAAACAGG